GGCGCACUUUUCUGUGUGUCGCGCUAGUACCUUCUGAUAGUAAGCCGGAACUCGGACUAUCAGUAAUACAAUAUCUACUAAACGUUCGUACAAUGGCACACCAUAAUAACAAGUUGUCAACAUCACGCAUCUCACAUACGGAAGUCACUGCAGCUUAAGCUUUUAUAUUAGCUGGAGGAACAAAAUAGAAGGAGGCUCCAAAAAGGGUUUAAAAAAGAGAAUGAUAAAAGUUGCUCGUUACCUUUUCCUCAUCUCGGUGAAACUAACCCGAACCGCACGACGUAACGAGGGCAUCAAUUUGUCGUGCUACAACAGUGGCUGAACUUCCGUAUUGGCAGGAUCUACAACCUUAUCAAAAUUCGAACAUCAGAACGUCUAAGCAACAACAACAAAGCCCUUGUCAUUUUGGCUGUUACACUGGUCAUGUGAACAGAGAGAAUGAAUUUUCUUCCCCAUGGCUUGGCUCUUAGCACUCUUGUUCCAGACGGCUUCAGUACGUCAAAUUAGAAACCAAUGCCGACCAUCUGGAUAUCACUCGACACAAUACGCCCACUGCACCGCCGUACGCAUUUGCUGGAGUGCAUACGUUCUCCUAGAUCAAAUUGCAAGAUUUUAUGAGCUAGAUAAUUUGCCAAUUGCCUUUACAGAAUUUUGAGAUAAAUUGUUUCACAAUAACGUAAUACUUAACACAUUAACCUAAACUUCACCCUGUCGACUGCCGAGCAGAAUGUAUACUGAGACUGACUAAUGCACUCUCCCAUAAAACCAACGCUAGGUUUCAAAACUUCUUGAUUAAUUACAUUUUUCAAAGAUCUUAUUUGAGCAGUUUGUAAUUAUUUGCCAACAUUGUGAAAUAUUUUAUACGUUAAUAAAUUUUUACAGAUGCGAA
rnacentral:lncRNA from 1 species